rnacentral:tRNA from 1 species
GGCUGGUUAGCUCAGCUGGUUAGAGCAUGGUGCUGAUAACACCAAGGUCGCAGGUUUGAUCCCCGUUCGGUCC